rnacentral:misc_RNA from 1 species
UCAAACUUGGUCAUUUAGAGGAAGUAAAAGUCGUAACAAGGUUUCCGUAGGUGAACCUGCGGAAGGAUCAUUAAAAAAUAGCAUUAGCUAUAUCCACCUUGUGUGCAAACAAUGAAAAGAGAAAAUGGAAUCGAGAGCACUUUUUCUUCAGGAAUAGUGUUACCAAAUUCUCUAUAUAUUUUAUAAAUACCAUCAAAAAUUAAUUUUUUUAAAUACAAAUAAUUAUACAACUUUCAACAACGGAUCUCUUGGCUCUCGCAUCGAUGAAGAACGCAGC